rnacentral:rRNA from 1 species
CGGGGGAUAACAUUUGGAAACAGGUGCUAAUACCGCAUAACAACGAAAACCACAUGGUUUUCGUUUCCCAGAUGGUUUCGGCUAUCACUUCAGGAUGGGCCCGCGGUGGAUUAGCUUGUUGGUAGGGUAACGGCCUACCAAGGCAAUGAUGCAUAGCCGAGUUGAGAGACUGAUCGGCCACAAUGGAACUGAGACACGGUCCAUACUCCUACGGGAGGCAGCAGUAGGGAAUCUUCCACAAUGGGCGCAUGCCUGAUGGAGCGACACCGCGUGAGUGAAGAAGGGUUUCGGCUCGUAAAGCUCUGUUGUUGAAGAAGAACGUGCGUGAGAGUAACUGUUCACGCAGUGACGGUAUUCAACCAGAAAGUCACGGCUAACUACGUGCCAGCAGCCGCGGUAAUACGUAGGUGGCAAGCGUUAUCCGGAUUUAUUGGGCGUAAAGCGAGCGCAGGCGGUUGCUUAAGUCUGAUGUGAAAGCCUUCGGCUUAACCGAAGAAGUGCAUCGGAAACUGAGCGACUUGAGUGCAGAAGAGGACAGUGGAACUCCAUGUGUAGCGGUGGAAUGCGUAGAUAUAUGGAAGAACACCAGUGGCGAAGGCGGCUGUCUGGUCUGCAACUGACGCUGAGGCUCGAAAGCAUGGGUAGCGAA